UACGGAGGAUCCAAGCGUUAUCCGGAAUCAUUGGGUUAAAGGGUGCGUAGGUGGCGUGGUAAGUCGGGUGUGAAAUUUCGGAGACUUAACUCCGAAACUGCAUUCGAUACUGCCGUGCUUGAGGACUGGAGAGGAGACUGGAAUUUACGGUGUAGCAGUGAAAUGCGUAGAGAUCGUAAGGAAGACCAGUGGCGAAGGCGGGUCUCUGGGACAGUUCCUGACACUGAGGCACGAAGGCCAGGGAGGCAAACGGG
rnacentral:rRNA from 1 species